rnacentral:rRNA from 1 species
UGCAACGAUGAAGAACGCAGCGAAAUGCGAUACGUAGUGUGAAUUGCAGAAUUCCGCGAAUCAUCGAGUCUUUGAACGCAAGUUGCGCCCGAGGCUUGUCCGAGGGCAUUUCCGCUAGAGCGUCACC